UACGUAGGGUGCGAGCGUUAAUCGGAAUUACUGGGCGUAAAGCGUGCGCAGGCGGUUCGUUGUGUCGGUGGUGAAAGCCCCGGGCUUAACCUGGGAAUGGCCAUGGAACUGGCGAACUGGAGUGUGGCAGAGGGGGGUGGAAUUCCGCGUGUAGCAGUGAAAUGCGUAGAGAUGCGGAGGAACACCAAUAGCGAAGGCAGCUCGCUGGGACGUUACUGACACUGAGGCGCGAAAGCGUGGGGAGCGAACAGG
rnacentral:rRNA from 1 species